rnacentral:rRNA from 1 species
AACGAACGCUGGCGGCAGGCUUAACACAUGCAAGUUGAACGGGAUUUGUAUGGUGCUUGCACUAUAUAAUGAGAGUAGCGCACUGGUGAGUAACACGUGGGAACAUACCUUGAAGUGGGGAACAACAGUUGGAAACGACUGCUAAUACCGCAUACGCCCUAAGGGGGAAAGAUUUAUCGCUUUAAGAUUGGCCCGCGGAAGAUUAGGUAGUUGGUGGGGUAACGGCCUACCAAGCCGACGAUCUAUAGCUGGUCUGAGAGGACGAACAGCCACAUUGGAACUGAGACACGGUCCAGACUCCUACGGGAGGCAGCAGUGAGGAAUAUUGGGCAAUGGAGGAAACUCUGACCCAGCCAUGCCGCGUGAGUGAAGAAGGUUUUCGAAUUGUAAAGCUCUUUCGGAUGUGAAGAUGAUGACGGUAGCAUCUAAAGAAGCCCCGGCAAACUUCGUG